rnacentral:lncRNA from 10 species
CCUUUCUCUACUUAAGUGGUUCUCCACUGGGAGCAGUUUCUCCCCUCUCCCCAGGAGACAUUUACCAAUGUCUGGAGACAGUCUGGUUGUCCUAACCGGGUGGGGGAGGGUGCUCCUGGAAUCUACUGAGUAGGGGCCCCAGAUGCUGCUAAACGCCCAGGAAUGCACAGGACAGCCGCCCACAACAAAGAAUUAUGCAGCCGAAAAUAUCAACAGUGCCAAGGUUGAAAAAGUCUGCUCCACUCGAAUCUAUUGCCUAGACGCAGAGUGCACCAUCUGGAAAUAUCCAGCUUGGAAACCCAGGACCUGUGUGCUGUGUCCAUCACCACCUUCCUGAGGAGCGAGGGCCCAUCCUGCCCCACUCUGGGUCUCUCCUUUCCCAGUUCCAUGUGUGGCCCUGUGGCCAUGCAUAUGCCACUAAGAAGGGCUGAGAGGCUGCAGAAGCACGUGCUCAGGGCGUCCUUGAGAAGGAUGCACCAACUCCUGGGGCUGAGGAACAGGGACAAACAUUGAGUAAAGG